GGCUCCGUAGCUCAGCGGAUAGAGCGUUGGUUUCCUAAACCAUGCGUCGGAGGUUCGAGUCCUCUCGGGGCCGC
rnacentral:tRNA from 1 species